UGAAGAACAAGGGAAGUGAGAACUGAUGCCUUGUGUUGCGGUGAAAAUAUCCCGAAUCUUGGACGGAGAGACCUGAGUUCAAUUCGCAGCUGGUGCAGCAACAAAAGCCACGAAGCAGUGCGCAUGCUCCACCCAACAACGGUACCAGGAUAAUUGAUGUCAGCGGCGGACCAAUGGAAGGACAGGGGCGGGGCUGGAGGACCUGCGGGGCUGUUGGCCCUCCGACCAAUCAGUGAAUGAGAGGCGGGACCUGAUUAUACCACGUGAUCGUCCUCGCGGACAGCGCGGCUGUGCGGGUGGAGAGCUGUCGCUACCACUUUCUCUGGAAGUUCAUUCCACACAGGCUCGUGUGUUAUAGUGACAGGCAGCUGGAAGCUCGGGCUGUGUUUUUGCAGCAGAACGUAGAUCAUCAGUCGCCAUUUCCGCUACCUCCACUGAGAUGCUGCCAGACACAGGUUCCCGUCCCCUCCAUUAACAGCUAUGCACCCUCCCCAGCCAGGAUAUUAAAUCAGAAUAAUAGAAACUCAAAAGCAAGUUUUUACAGUCAAUGGAGUCAUCGGGAUCUGAAUAUCAUUUGCAUUUGACUGUGGACGGAGAAAGGAUGAGGCUGUCACUGGCUCGGCCAGCAUUUAUUGCUGCGUUUACCCAGAGGGCAGUUAAGAAUCAACCACGUUGCUAUAGGUCUGGAGUCCCAUGCAGACCAGACCAGAUCCCAGUGAUCAGUGCCAAAGCCCCAUUGCCUGUGGAGAGGGUGAUGUUUGAUUUCCCUGUCCAGCUGCAGUUCAUGUGGUGAAGGUGCUCCCACAAUGUGGUUGCGUGGACAUUCAGAUGGUAAUCUCAGUAAUUGUAACGCCAAACUGUGACAAAAUUACUCAAUUCAUCAGGAGCUGGAUAUUCACAU